rnacentral:rRNA from 1 species
UACAGAGGGUGCAAGCGUUGUUCGGAAUUAUUGGGCGUAAAGCGCGUGUAGGCGGCUUUGCAAGUCGGGUGUGAAAGCCCUCAGCUCAACUGAGGAAGUGCGCCCGAAACUGCAGAGCUUGAGUGCCGGAGAGGGUGGCGGAAUUCCCCAAGUGAGAGGUGAAAUUCGUAGAUAUGGGGAGGAACACCGGUGGCGAAGGCGGCCACCUGGACGGUAACUGACGCUGAGACGCGAAAGCGUGGGAGCAACAGG